ACACUCCCAAGAGUGGACUCGAACUUGUCAGCAGUGUCGGCUAGAGUGUUUUUGUUCCUGCACUUGGGCUGUUCGGAGUUGUAGAGGCCAUGAGAAGGCAUAGCGUUAGGCCAUCCAGCCCUCAGAUUUUCUCCAGCUCCAUUCCGCCGCAUGAUGCCCUUUGAUCGUACCCUUUCCCGAAGUAAAAUAUCAAACGAAAGGAGUUCUGAAGCAUUUCAUCCAGAGAAUGAUAGGAGUCUGCGGAGCAUUGGGGAACAGGAGAACACCCGAGCUCAAGAAUCAGCCUCCGGGCUAAGAAACUAGUUCAGCAGGAAGGGUGCACCGUCAGGCCCUUAAGGAUCAUAUGCUCGAGACACGCAGGCCUUGAGCAUGCAGUGAUCCUGUGGCUUCCACCUCUCACGCGCUGGGAUUGCAGGCAUGCCCCGCCAUGGCCAGGGUUUGAGCUCAUUCUCUACCCCACCUCCAAGCUUUCCUGUGGAGUCUGGACUAGAAUUGAUAUCCAGCUGCCUGAGCUUCUCAAAUGCCAAGAUUAUAGGAAUUCUGGGACUGCAGAUUAAAGGUGUGCGCCACCA